rnacentral:tRNA from 1 species
CAGAGAAUAGUUUAUUUUAAAAUUUUAAUUUUGGAGAUUAAAGAUAGAAGGCUUUUCUUUCUCUGA